rnacentral:misc_RNA from 1 species
CUGGUCACAGAGUAUGGUGCCGAUGCUGAUCUAAGGGAAGGUGACUUGUCGAUGUAUGCACAUCGCUCAUUGCCAUUCCAGUACAAAAUUACGCGAUUUGUGCAAGAAUGUGACCAACUAUCACCUAGUGCAAGACCUAAUUGGAAGGAGCCUUCUGUGUGCUUGGUUGUUACCUGAUUCAAUAAAACUACCGCUAGGCUGAAAUUUUUUGCAACCUUCAUCAACUUUAAUGCCAUUCCACUGAGUACCCGUGUUCUGAGGGCUAAGUCAUCAAAAUCUUGGCGGAAGUGGAAAGUAAUGCUAUCAAUUAUAACAAUUUUAACAUCUCUAUGCUCUGUAAUGAAUUUGUCCAAGUAAUUAACCAGAGCAAUUUGCUCGGUA